rnacentral:tRNA from 1 species
CACAAUCUGGUGCGCGAUAACGCGCGGAGCUCACGUUUUCGCAGUGAGAUCGCCACCGCGGAGACGCCGGAGUUCGCGUCCCCGGAUCAGGU